CCUACGGGAGGCAGCAGUCGAGAAUCAUUCACAAUGGGGGAAACCCUGAUGGUGCGACGCCGCGUGGGGGAAUGAAGGUCUUCGGAUUGUAAACCCCUGUCAUGUGGGAGCAAAUUAAAAAUAUAGUACCACAAUAUGAAGAGACGGCUAACUCUGUGCCAGCCGCCGCGGUAAUACAGAGGUCUCAAGCGUUGUUCGGAAUCACUGGGCGUAAUGCGUGCGUAGGCUGUUUGGUAAGUCGUGUGUGAAAGGCGCGGGCUCAACCCGCGUACGGCCCAUGAUACUGGGAGACUGGUGUAAUGGAGGGGGAAGCGGAAUUCUCGGUGUAGCAGUGAAAUGCGUAGAUAUCGAGAGGAACACUCGUGGCGAAGGCGAGUUCCUGGACAUUAACUGACGCUGAGGCACGAAGGCCAGGGGAGCGAAAGGGAUUAGAUACCCGUGUAGUC
rnacentral:rRNA from 1 species